rnacentral:rRNA from 1 species
CUACGGGCGGCUGCAGUGGGGAAUAUUGCACAAUGGAGGAAACUCUGAUGCAGCAACGCCGCGUGGAGGAUGACACUUUUCGGAGCGUAAACUCCUUUUAUAUAGGAAGAAGAUGACGGUACUAUAUGAAUAAGCGCCGGCUAACUCCGUGCCAGCAGCCGCGGUAAUACGGAGGGCGCAAGCGUUACUCGGAAUCACUGGGCGUAAAGAGCGGGUAGGCGGAUUAAAGAGUCAGAAGUGAAAUCCUAUAGCUUAACUAUAGAACUGCUUCUGAAACUCUUAAUCUAGAAUAUGGGAGAGGUAGAUGGAAUUUCUGGUGUAGGGGUAAAAUCCGUAGAGAUCAGAAGGAAUACCGAUUGCGAAGGCGAUCUACUAGAACAUUAUUGACGCUGAGACGCGAAAGCGUGGGGAGCAAACAGGAUUAGAUACCCUAGUAGUC